rnacentral:rRNA from 1 species
GACGAACGCUGGCGGCGUGCCUAACACAUGCAAGUCGAACGGAACUUUUUUAAAAGAUUUCUUCGGAAUGAAUUUGAUUAAGUUUAGUGGCGGACGGGUGAGUAACGCGUGAGUAACCUGCCUCUAAGAGGGGAAUAACAUUCUGAAAAGAAUGCUAAUACCGCAUAACAUAUAUUUAUCGCAUGGUAGAUAUAUCAAAGAUUUAUCGCUUAGAGAUGGACUCGCGUCCGAUUAGCUGGUUGGUGAGGUAACGGCCCACCAAGGCGACGAUCAGUAGCCGACCUGAGAGGGUGACCGGCCACAUUGGGACUGAGACACGGCCCAAACUCCUACGGGAGGCAGCAGUGGGGAAUAUUGCACAAUGGGGGAAACCCUGAUGCAGCGACGCCGCGUGAGCGAAGAAGUAUUUCGGUAUGUAAAGCUCUAUCAGCAGGGAAGAUAAAUGAACGGUACCUGACUAAGAAGCACCGGCUAAAUACGUGCCAGCAGCCGCGGU